rnacentral:tRNA from 1 species
GUUCCUAUAGUUAAAUUAUUUAACGGUGGCGUUUCAGGCCAUAGAUCCCGGAGCGAGGCCGGGUGGGAAUU